AUUGCAAUCAAAUCUAAUCCCUUUCAGGGAUUGAAAC
rfam:Desertifilum sp. IPPAS B-1220 NODE_35_length_63014_cov_34.2498, whole genome shotgun sequence.